rnacentral:rRNA from 1 species
UGACUGCGUACCUUUUGUAUAAUGGGUCAGCGACUUAUUGUCUGUAGCAAGCUUAACCGUUUAGGGGAGGCGUAGGGAAACCGAGUCCGAAUAGGGCGAUUUAGUCGUCAGGCGUAGACCCGAAACCGGAUGAUCUACUCAUGGCCAGGUUGAAGGCAAGGUAACACUUGCUGGAGGACCGAACCCACUAGUGUUGCAAAACUAGGGGAUGAGCUGUGGGUAGGGGUGAAAGGCUAAACAAAUCCGGAAAUAGCUGGUUCUCCCCGAAAACUAUUUAGGUAGUGCCUCGCGUAUUGCUCCAGGGGGUAGAGCACUGUAAUGGUUGGGGGGGUCAUUGCGACUUACCCCGCCAUAGCAAACUCCGAAUACCUGGAAGUAUUAGCGCGGGAGACAGAGCACUGGGUGCUAACGUCCAGACUCAAGAGGGAAACAACCCAGACCGCCAGCUAAGGUCCCAAAUUAUAGCUAA